rfam:Ciona savignyi cont_35290, whole genome shotgun sequence.
UCCUAAAUGGUCUAGUGGUAAGGAUUCCUGGCUUUCACCCGGGCGGCCCGGGUUCGAUUUCCGGUGUAGGAA